ACACAACUCUGCUGCCAAGUGAAAAGUGUUACAAUUGAUACAAUGAUACAAUAGAGCUGAAUAGUAACACAAAUCACCGGUAUCACAUUAUCAUGGCCAGAUUCUAAUCAAAUGCCUUUUAAUUGAAGGAGAUUCUUUAUUUUUCAACAAAUAUGGCACGUUUAUCCUGUUGCUGUACAUAGUGAGAUUAUUACUCUGUUUUAUUUUUAAUACUAUGGUAACAAGACUUAUUACUAAGCUGUUGCUAUUUCCCCUCAAUAUUUCUCAGAGGGUUAUAGCCUGUUUUGAAGCAUAUUCACUACAUUGUUGUGUGUAAAUUAAUGAAAUUACCAGUCAUGCAUUAUAUUUGUUGAUUAUAUCCCGAUCAAUCUUAGUGAUAACUUAUUUGUGUAAAUUAUAAUUAUCAUACAUUUACCCAUGCUUUUUUCUUAUUCAUUUCAGGCAUGUCUAGCAUUUCAUCUAUGCUCUGAUUCGAUUCUAUGCUCUGACCCCCCAGGUCAACAACACAAACAGGCAACAGUUCCAUUUCCAGCUAGAAGCUUACAGAAUGCAUAUGAAAAUAAAAACUGUUGAAUUCUGCUAACCAGGGCCUCCUUUCCAGUUCUAACGUCAAAGGAAGGUAGAUACUAUCUGCUAGCUAAGUAGUAGUAGUAGUAUUAGUAGUGGUAGUAGUAGUAGUAUUAGUAGUGGUAGUAGUAGUAGUAGUAGUGUUAGUAGUAGUGGUAGUGGUAGUAGUGUUAGUAGUAGUGGUAGUGGUAGUAGUUGUAUUAAUGGUAGUAGUUGUAUUAGUGGCAAUACUGGUAGUAGUAGUAGUUGUAUUAGUGGUAAUAGUGGUAGUAGUUGUAUUAGUGGCAAUACUGGUAGUAGUAGUAGUAGCAGCAUUAGUAGUAGUAGUAGUGUUAGUAGUUGUAGUUGUAUUAGUGUUAGUAAUAGUAGUUGUAUUAGUGGUAAUAGUGGUAGUAGUAGUAGUUGUAGUAGUAGUGGUAGUAGUAGUAGUAGCAGCAGUAGUAGGUGUGUAGUAGUGGUAGUAGUAGUAGUGGUAGUGGUGAUUGUUGUAGUAGUGGUAGCAUUAGUGGUAGUAGUGGUAGUAGUUGUACAUUUACAUUUACAUAUACGUCAUUUAGCAGACGCUCUUAUCCAGAGCGACUUACAAAUUGGUGCAUUCACCUUAUGAUAUCCAGUGGAACAACCACUUUACAAUAGUACAUCUAUAUCUUUUUUUGGGGGGGGGUUAGAAGGUUUACUUAAUCCUAUCCCAGGUAUUCCUUAAAGAGGUGGGGUUUCAGGUGUCUCCGGAAGGUGGUGAUUGGCUCCGCUGUCCUGGCGUCGUGAGGGAGCUUGUUCCACCAUUGGGGUGCCAGAGCAGCAAACAGUUUUGACUGGGCUGAGCGGGAACUGUAGUAGUAAUAGUAGUAGUGGUAGUAGUUGUAGUAGUAGUGGUAGUAGUAGUAGUGGGGGUGGUAGUGGUUGUGGUAGUAGUAGUAGUAGUAGUAGUAGUAGUAGUGCUAGUAGUAGCAGUGGUGGUAGUAGUAGUAGUGGUGGUAGUAGUAGUAGUAGUGGUGGUGGUAGUAGUAGUAGUAGUAGUAGUGGUGGUGGUAGUAGUAGUAAUGGUAGUAGUGGUAGUAGUAGUGGUAUUGGUAGUAGUAGUAGUAGUGGUAGUAGUAGUAGUGGUAGUAGUAGUAGUGGUGGUAGUAGUAGUGGUGGUAGUAGUGUUAGUAGUAGUGGUAGUAGUAGUGGUAGUGGUAGUGGUAGUAGUAGUAGUAGUAGUAUUAGUAGUAGUGGUAGUAGUGGUAGUAGUGGUAUUAGUAUUAGUGGUAGUAGUAGUAGUAGUAGUAGUGGUAGUAGUAGUAGUAGAAGUAGUAGUAGUAGUAGUAGUAGUGUUAGUAGAAGUAGUGGUGGUAGUAGUGUUAGUUGUAGUGGUAGUAGUAAUAGUAGUGGUGGUAGUAGUGGUAGUAGUAGUGGUAGUGGUAGUGGUAGUAGUAGUAGUAGUAGUAGUAGUGGUGGUAGUAGUAGUAGUUGUAUUAGUGUAAUAGUGGUAGUAGUAGUAGUAGUAGUUGUUGUAUUAGUGGUAAUAGAGGUUGUAUUGGUAGUAGUAGUGGUAGUAGUAAUAGUGGUGGUGGUAGUAGUAGUAUUAGUAGUGGUAGAAGUAGUAGUAGUAGUAGUAGUUGUAUUAGUGGUAAUAGUGGUAGUAGUUGUAUUAGUGGCAAUACUGGUAGUAGUAGUAGUAGCAGUAGUGUUAGUAGUUGUAGUUGUAUUAGUGGUAAUAGUAGUAGUAGUAGUAGUAGUGUUAGUAGUUGUAGUUGUAUUAGUGGUAAUAGUGGUAGAAGUAGUCGCAGUAGUAGUAGUAGUGUUAGUACUAGUAGUUGUAUUAGUGGAAAUAGUGGUAGUAGUAGUAGUUGAUUUAGUGGUAAUAGUGGUAGUAGUAGUGGCAGUGGUAAUAGUGGUAGUAGUAGUAGUAGUUAAAGUAUUAGUUGUCGUGGUAGUAGUAGUAGUAGCAGCAAUAGUAGGUGUGUAGUAGUGGUAGUAGUAGUAGUGGUAGUGGUGAUAGUAGUAGUAGUGGUAGCGGUAGUGGUAGUAGUGGUAGUAGUUGUAGUAGUAGCAAUAGUAGUAGUGGUAGUAGUUGUAGUAGUACUGGUAGUAGUAGUGGUGGUGGUAGUAGUGGUUGUGGUAGUAGUAGUAGUAGUAGUAGUAGUGGUAGUAGUAGUAGUAGUAGUAGUAGUAGUGGUAGUAGGAAUAAUCGUGGUGGUAGAAGUAAUGGUGGUGGUAGUGGUAGUAGUAGUAAUGGUAGUAGUGGUAGUAGUCGAAGUAGUAGUAGUGGUAGUAGUAGUAGUAGUGGUGGUAGUAUUAGUAAUAGUAGUGGUAGUAGUAAUAGUGGUGGUGGUAAUAGUAGUAGUAGUGGUAGUAGUGGUAGUAGUAGUGGUGGUAGUAGUAGUAGUAGUAGUGGUGGUGGUGGUAGUAGUAGUAGUAGUGGUGGUUUUAGUAGUAGUGGUAGUAGUAGUAGUAUUAGUAUUAGUAGUGGUAGUGGUAGUUGUAGUAGUAGUGGUAGUGGUAGUGGUAGUGUUCGUAGUACUAGUAGUAGUGGUGGUGGUAGUAGUGGUGGUAGUAGUAGUAGUGGUAGUAGUAGUAGUAGUAGUAGUAUAAGUAGUGGUAGUAGCGGUACUAGCAGUAGUAGUAUUAGUAGUGGUAGUAGUAAUAGUGGUGGUGGUAGUAGUAGUAGUUGUGGUAGUAGUAGUAGUAUUAGUAGUUGUAGUAGUAGUAGUGGUGGUGGUGGUGGUAGUAGUAGUAGUGGUGGUAGUAGUAGUAGUGGUAGUAGUAGUAGUAUUAGUGUUAGUAGUGGUAGUUCAAUAGUAGGUGUGUAGUAGUGGUAGUAGUAGUAGUGGUAGUGGUGAUAGUAGUAGUAGUGGUAGCGGUAGUGGUAGUAGUGGUAGUAGUUGUAGUAGUAGCAAUAGUAGUAGUGGUAGUAGUAGUAGUAGUGGUGGUUUUAGUAGUAGUGGUAGUAGUAGUAGUAUUAGUGUUAGUAGUGGUAGUGGUAGUUGUAGUAGUAGUGGUAGUGGUAGUGGUAGUGUUCGUAGUACUAGUAGUAGUGGUGGUGGUAGUAGUGGUGGUAGUAGUAGUAGUGGUAGUAGUAGUAGUAGUAGUAGUAGUAGUAGUAGUAUAAGUAGUGGUAGUAGUGGUAGUAGCAGUAGUAGUAUUAGUAGUGGUAGUAGUAAUAGUGGUGGUGGUAGUAGUAGUAGUUGUGGUAGUAGUAGUAGUAUUAGUAGUUGUAGUAGUAGUAGUGGUGGUGGUGGUGGUAGUAGUAGUAGUGGUGGUAGUAGUAGUAGUGGUAGUAGUAGUAGUAUUAGUGUUAGUAGUGGUAGUGGUAGUUGUAGUAGUAGUGGUAGUAGUAGUGGUAGUGGUAGUGUCCUUAGUAGUAGUAGUGGUGGUGGUAGUAGUAGUAGUAGUGGUGGUAGUAGUAGUGGUAGUAGUAGUAGUAGUAGUAUAAGUAGUGGUAGUAGCGGUAGUAGCAGUAGUAGUAGUAUUAGUAGUGGUAGUAGUAAUAGUGGUGGUAGUAGUAAUAGUUGUCGUGGUAGUAGUGGUAGUAGUAGUAGUAUUAGUGUUAGUAGUGGUAGUGGUAGUUGUAGUAGUAGUGGUAGUAGUAGUGUCCUUAGUAGUAGUAGUGGUGGUGGUAGUAGUAGUAGUGGUGGUAGUAGUAGUGGUAGUAGUAGUAGUAGUAGUAUAAGUAGUGGUAGUAGCGGUAGUAGCAGUAGUAGUAGUAAUAGUGGUGGUGGUAGUAGUAGUAGUUGUGGUAGUAGUGGUGGUAGUAGUAGUAGUAAUGGUAGUAGUGGUAGUAGUAGUAGUAGUAGUAGUAGUAGUAGUAGUAUUUUUAGUAGUGGUAGUAGUAGUAGUAGUUGUAUUAGUGGUAAUAGUGGUAGUAGUUGUAUUAGUGGCAAUACUGGUAGUAGUAGUAGUUGUAUUAGUGGUAAUAGUGGUAGUAGUUGUAUUAGUGGCAAUACUGGUGGUAGUAGUAGUAGUAGCAGUAUUAUUAGUAGUAGUAGUGUUAGUAGUUGUUGUUGUAUUAGUGGUAAUAGUGAUAGUAGUAGCAGUAGUAGUAGCGGUAGUAGGUGUAGUGUUAGUACUAGUAGUUGUAUUAUUGGUAAUAGUGGUAGUAGUAGUAGUGGUAGUAGUAGUUAAAGUAGUAGUUGUAGUGGUAGUAGUUGUAGUAGUAGUAGUAGUAGCAGCAGUAGUAGGUGUGUAGUAGUGGUAGUAGUAGUGGUAGUAGUAGUAGUGGUGAUAGUAGUAGUAGUGGUAGCGGUACUGGUAGUAGUGGUAGUAGUAGUAGUAAUAGUAGUAGUGGUAGUAGUUGUAGUAGUACUGGUAGUAGUAGUAGUGGUGGUGGUAGUAGUAGUAGUGGUAGUAAUGGUAGUAGUCGAAGUAGUAGUAGUUGUAGUAGUGGUAGGUGUAGUGGUGGUGGUAGUAGUAGAAGUAGUAGUAGUAGUAGUAUUAGUAGUAGUAGUGGUAGUAUUAGUAGUUGUAGUGGUUGUAGUAAUAGUGGUGGUGGUAGUAGUAGUAGUCGUGGUAGUAGUAGUAGUAGUGGUAGUAGUGGUAGUAGUAGUGGUGGUAGCAGUAGUAGUAGUAGUUGUAGUAGUGGUGGUGGUGGUUGUAGUAGUUGUGGUGGUAGUAGUAGUAGUGGUAGUAGUAGUAGUAGUAUUAGUGUUAGUAGUAGUAGUUGUAGUAGUAGUGUUGUGGUGGUAGUAGUAGUGGUAGUGGUAGUGUUAGUAGUAGUAGUAGUAGUAGUAGUAGUAGUGGUAGUAGUAGUAGUAGUGGUAGUAGUGGUAGUAGUAGUAGUAGUAGUAGUGGUAGUAGUGGUAGUAGUAGUGGUAGUAGUAGUAGUAGUGGUAGUGGUAGUAGUAGUAGUAGUAGUUGUAGUUGUAGUAGUAGUAGUGGUAGUGGUAGUAGUAGUAGUGGUGGUAGUGGUAGUAGUAGUAGUAGUAGUUGUAGUUGUAGUAGUAGUAGUGGUAGUGGUAGUAGUAGUAGUGGUAGUAGUAGUAGUAGUGGUAGUGGUAGUAGUAGUAGUAGUAGUUGUAGUAGUAGUGGUAGUGGUAGUAGUAGUAGUGGUAGUAGUAGUGUGUUUGUGUACCUACAUUGUUGGUUGUUUCUGUGUUUUUUAAUAAACUUUUAGCAUAACACCCCAGCAGUGGGCCUCUGCUCUCGCUGCUCCUUCCAGCUCUGCUUCUGGACCCGGCUGACUGCCAGUGUUCACUGGCAUUGUUAGCUAAUAUGACAGCAGAGUGCUUGCAGGACUCACUGGAGUGUAGCAGAGAGAGAGGGGGGGAGAGACAGAGAGAGGGCUAGAGAGUUUGCUAGUGAGAGAGAGAGAAAGGGAAGGAAAGAGAGAGAGAGCAGGCAGGCAGGCAGUGGUAGGGGCGGAAGGAGAGAAGAGUAGCAGAACACACACACACACACACACACACACACACACACACACACACACACACACACACACACACACACACACACACACACACACACACACACACACACACACACACACACACACACACACACACACACACACACACAGUAGAGAAUGUUUACAGGGGAAAUGCAACCCAGAACAACUGAGCAGCACCAAUCCUCUCCAUCUCUCCUCCAUCGCUCCUCUCCUCCAUCUAUCCAUCUCUCAGUGAACUGAGUUAGGAAGGCUUGUACUUUGUAGUGACUGGGUGUAUUGAUACUGAGGUAGGAAGGCUUGUACUUUGUAGUGACUGGGUGUAUUGACACUGAGGUAGGAAGGCUUGUAUCUUUGUUGUGACUGGGUGUAUUGAUACUGAGGUAUGAAGGCUUGUAGUGACUGGGUGUAUUGAUACUGAGGUAGGAAGGCUUGUAUAUUUGUAGUGACUGGGUGUAUUGAUACUGAGGUAGGAAGGCUUGUAGUGACUGGGUGUAUUGAUACUGAGGUAGGAAGGCUUGUAGUGACUGGGUGUAUUGAUACUGAGUUAGGAAGGCUUGUAGUGACUGGGUGUAUUGAUACUGAGGUAGGAAGGCUUGUAGUGACUGGGUGUAUUGAUUCUGAGGUAGGAAGGCUUGUUGUGACUGGGUGUAUUGAUACUGAGUUAGGAAGGCUUGUAGUAACUGGGUGUAUUGAUACUGAGUUAGGAAGGCUUGUAGUGACUGGGUGUAUUGAUACUGAGGUAGGAAGGCUUGUAUAUUUGUAGUGACUGGGUGUAUUGAUACUGAGGUAGGAAGGCUUGUAGUGACUGGGUGUAUUGAUACUGAGGUAGGAAGGCUUGUAGUGACUGGGUGUAUUGAUACUGAGGUAGGAAGGCUUGUAGUGACUGGGUGUAUUGAUACUGAGUUAGGAAGGCUUGUAGUGACUGGGUGUAUUGACAUUGAGUUAGGAAGGCUUGUAUAUUUGUAGUGACUGGGUGUAUUUAUACACCAUCCAAAGUGUAAUUAAUAACUUCAGCAUGCUCAAAGGGUCUGCUUUUUUUCCUAUAUCCAUCUACCAAUAGGUGCCCUUCUUUGCGAGUGAUUGGAAAACCUCCCUUGUCUUUGUCGUUGAAUCUGUGCUUGAAAUGUACUAGUUGAUUGAGGGACCUUACAGAUAAUUUUAUGUGUGGGGUACAGCGAGGGCGUAGUUAUAAAAUAAUAAUGUUAACCACUAUUAUUGAACACGGAAUGAGUCCAUGCAACUUAUUAUGCAAUUUGUUAUGUACAUUUUGACUCCUAAACAUAUUGAGGCUUGCCUUAACAAAGGGCUUGAAUACUUAUUGACUCAAGACAUUUAAGGAUUUAAUUUUUAUUCAUAAAAACAAUGUUCUAUAAACAAAAUUCCACUUUGACAUUUUGGGGUAUUAAACAUUUAUUAAAUUGAUAUUUUGCAUCACUGAUCUACACUUAAUUCAGGCUGGACACACAACUAAAUGUGUAAAAAGUAAAGUGGUG
rnacentral:lncRNA from 1 species